CCUGACGGAAGCCCAGGGAAAUUAAGCAACAUACCCUCCUUCUGACAAGCUUUCCAGAACCUCGAAUUCCCAGAGUUAAAUAUGGUGACUCGAAGAAACUUGGAGGUGGGGAAAAUGAGACUCAGAGAAAUUAAGCAGUUUGAUGAACCACACUAGAUACUUUUGCACCAACCCGAAUGCUUUUGAAGGCUAUUAACUGAUGAGGAGGACUGGAGAGAAUAG